rnacentral:sRNA from 1 species
AAGGUUUUGUAGUUUCUCCAGAGUGAUUGAAGGCAAUUAACAUGUUGAGGGGGAUGAAGCCUGGUCCGA